rnacentral:lncRNA from 1 species
AACAUGUAAAACAUUCCACUCAAAAUCUUUUUGGGUCAAACCAGGGAAAACAUGAAGAGCGUGAGAUGAACACUUGAGUGUUCUUCUCUUCCAUUUUCCAGGAUCCUAAAUUUAUGCUCAAACCAAAAAAACAUAAAUAAUAAAUCCCAUAUAAAUCAUCUCAUGGUCACGGUUAUGUCAUCCAAACAACCAAACAACUCACGCAUGGAACAUAUCGACCUUCCCCCCAAGCAGAAAACCUUAACCCUUUUUCUUUAAUUUUCAUCGAAUUACAACAAUGGUACAAUAAUUGGAAGGCAAAAAAUGAAACAAACAUACAAGAAAUAUAAAGCAAGAAUGAAAGAAGUAGAGAAAAUGACAAAAAAAGAAACCUCGUUGGGAUCUGGAUUUACCAGACCUUCGACGAGCACUUCGGUGAGGCCAGAUUUACCUUUUGGUAAGUUUCCAUUCUUUUUCUCCUUCUCUUUUGCACUUCUGCUUCUACCCCGUCUCCUUCUUUUUAUUUUCUUCUGGCGUGGUAGGAUGCAGGUGAAUUAGAGGUCAAGCUUGAGUUUCUGCAGAGGUUUGGAAGGUAAUUGAAGGUGUGGGAGUUUUAUGCCAAGUUCUCUUAGGGAUUUUUUCAUGUCUAUUUAAGAGCGAAUGAAAAUAUGAUUUUAUAGGAAUAUUUGGGACUCGUGUGAGGUGAUUUUGGGAGGGAAUAAUGGAUGGGCAUGAGUGUGUGAGCGAAGAGUGAGUAAAGUGUGAAGGCAGUAUGAACUUCGUGACUUUAGGAUGAGCAAGAGUGAGAGUCUUUGAUGUAUGUAUGUCGCAAGGACAUGGAUGUAUGGAGGUGAAGGAAGAUGGUGCAUAUUUUAUGUAAUGCUACUUGUAAUUCACAUGUACUAUAACAUUGUAUUUACAUUUUUAAUUUAAUAAAAUCGAAUUUUCUUAAAUUGAAUUUCAUUUUUUCCAUUUUACUUUUUAAUUCACCUUAAUUUUCAUGGUUGUGAUUAAUGGCAUGUAUGUGAUG